rnacentral:tRNA from 1 species
GGGCCCGUAGCUCAGCCUGGUCAGAGCAACGGUCUUAUAAACCGUGCGUCGUGGGUUCAAAUCCCACCGGGCCCA